UGGGGAAUAUUGCACAAUGGGGGAAACCCUGAUGCAGCGACGCCGCGUGAGCGAGGAAGUAUUUCGGUAUGUAAAGCUCUAUCAGCAGGGAAGAAUAGGUCGUUAAUCUUUGAUUAAUGACAUGGAUGACGGUACCUGACUAAGAAGCUCCGGCUAAAUACGUGCCAGCAGCCGCGGUAAUACGUAUGGAGCAAGCGUUAUCCGGAUUUACUGGGUGUAAAGGGAGCGUAGACGGCAGGGCAAGUCUGAUGUGAAAGUCCGGGGCCCAACCCCGGGACUGCAUUGGAAACUGUCCGGCUGGAGUGCAGGAGAGGUAAGUGGAAUUCCUAGUGUAGCGGUGAAAUGCGUAGAUAUUAGGAGGAACACCAGUGGCGAAGGCGGCUUACUGGACUGUAACUGACGUUGAGGCUCGAAAGCGUGGGGAGCAAACAGG
rnacentral:rRNA from 1 species